AUAGACGCCUCGUUUCAAUAACGGGGCUUCGAGGCGUCAGGUUUUCCUCGUCGCUUAUUUUGCUCCGUAGAAAGAGUUGAGCUGGGUAGGUAAGCAAGUUUUGAAGCUGCAGGAGGAGAGGCCAAGUUUGUCCUUGCUGGCUGCCUCUCGAUCCCGGGAGGCGAGGCGAUUUUGUACCUUAACUUUCACCGCCCUCGCCUCCCAAGCCCUCAACUGCCUGACAGACACCUCAGCAGUCAAGUGAUGAAAAUCCUGCAGUUUUAAGUAAAAGGCUUCUUUUUCCAGGCUUGCAUGGAUCCAGGAUUUGAAAGAAAAUGCCGUUAGG